CCAAUAGACGUACCCCGGUAGUCCCAGCUGUAAACGAUGCGCGUUAGGUGUAUCGGGUGACCACGAGUCACCGAGGUGCCGAAGGGAAACCGUGAAACGUGCCGCCUGGGAAGUACGGUCGCAAGGCUGAAACUUAAAGGGAAUUGGCGGGGGAGCACCACAACAGGUGGAGCCUGCGGUUUAAUCGGACUCAACGCCGGGAAGCUCACCGGAUAAGACAGCUGAAUGAUAGCCGGGUUGAAGACUCUGCUUGACUAGCUGAGAGGAGGUGCAUGGCCGUCGUCAGUUCGUACUGUGAAGCAUCCUGUUAAGUCAGGCAACGAGCGAGACCCACGCCAACAGUUGCCAGCAUGUCCUCCGGGAUGGUGGGGACACUGUUGGGACCGCCUCUGCUAAAGAGGAGGAAGGAAUGGGGCAACGGUAGGUCAGCAUGCCCCGAAUUAUCCGGGCUACACGCGGGCUACAAUGGUCAGGACAAUGGGUAUCAACACCGAAAGGUGAAGGCAAUCUCCUAAACCUGUCCUUAGUUCGGAUUGUGGG
rnacentral:rRNA from 1 species